GGUAGCGUGGCCGGGCGGUGUAAGGCGCAGAUUGAAGGCACCAGUCUUACCGAAUUCGAGUUCCGGAGGCGUGGGUUCGAAUCCCACCGCUGCCA